CCAAUUCAGACAUAUUUUCCCUAAACAACCUAUACUAUUAUCUCUCUCCCUCCCUCUUUUUUUUCAUUUCACCAUUUCUUCAUUUUCCUCUUUUCUCUUUUCCUCUUUCAUUUUCGUCCUCUGUUUUUUUUCUUUUUUGCUCUCGAUUUUUGGAGGACAUUGCCACCAUUGUUCUUCAAGUAAGAGCUACGGGUAAGAGCUUCCAUUGUUUGUGUGUUCUUCAAGGUAAGCAUGAGUUUUUUAUUUUUUUUUUCUCUCUAAUUUUAGGGUUUUUUGUUCCUUUUCAUUUUGUGGGUUUGUUGAAGUUGCAUUUGUUCUUAAUCGUUCUUACAUUCUUAUAUUUUCGUUUUUAUUUUUUUAUUUUGCAUUUUCUUGUUGAGUUAUGCUUAAUCCGAAGAGAGAGUGGGAAAAAUGAGAAUAGAAGAGAGUAGUUCAUUGAGAGAAAAUUAGGAGGAUUAAGAAAGAAACAAGGAGAAUCAUUGGAAAACAAUCUCAACCCAUUUUCUGUUUUAAGAUUAUUAGUGUGUUGUUGUUUUUCUUUUUUUUUUAAAAAAUGUUUAAUCCGAAGUGAUUAUUGUGUUGUUGUAUUUAUUCAUAUUGGAUUAGUUAAGUAUUUUGUGUUUUGGGUUUUGUUUUAUGCUUUAGAAUUUUGUUGUUUAGUUUUUUUUUUUUUUUAAUUUUUGUUAAUAUUCGGUGUUGUUGUUGUGUUUAUUUUUUUUUUUAAAUUUGGUUGGUUUUUGGAUAUGAUUUUUGUUAGUUUUAGUGAUAAAUUUUCUUUCAUUUUUUAGAAACUGGUUUUUGGGUAUGAUUUUUUUUGAUGAUUUAGUAAUUUCGGGUUUUAGAGUCAAUGUGCUGUAAUAAAUUGUGAAUUUAUUGUGUAAUCUGAAAAAGCCUUGUAAUUUCUGUUGAAAAUAUUGUAUCAAUUAUAAACUUGUAGGGAUUUUAUUUUGCAUGAAGAAAUUAUUGUUGUGUUUGAGCAGUUAUAAUCUUUGUUUUAUUUAUAGGAACUGGUUUUUGGUGUGUAUGGGUGGUUUUGAGGUUUGAGGUUUCAAAAUAAUUCUCAUAUGAAAAACCAGUUUCUAGAUCAUGAUUACAGUUUUAAAAAUAGGUUAGAAAUGAUGCAGGUAUUGUUUCGGAUCCUCGGAUUCCUAAUUUUGAAACAUGUCAAAAACAAGUUUCUGGAGUUUGAUUUAUGUUAUAGAUAUGUGUUAUUUGUGCAUUCUGUGAUAAUUUGGGUGUGUGGGUGGUUUUAAGGUUGAUGUUGCAAAAUGCUUGGAUCUUUGAAUGGGUUUCCUUUGGGCUGGAUUAUUAGUUUUAUUGUUUAGUUAAUUACUGUUGAGGAAAUUGUCGUUAUGUUUUUUUGUUUUUUUUUUGUUGUUUUGUUUCGAUUUUGUGUGAAACUAGUUUUCGUGUUAAUUAUCAGGAUUAAUUUGUUGUUUGUGUCUAAUGUUUAUUUUGUGUUUUGUUUUUUUAUCAGAUGGAGAGUGAAUCAGUCUCAAAAGUCUCAUCUAUUGUUGAAAAGAUUGAGUAGGCUACGAAGGCUAAAGGCCGACCAAAAAAAUAUUCACGUAAAGCUAAAGUAUAUUUUAUGUUUGUAUUGAAACCGGUUUUUAGUACUUAUGUUUGUUUUUUUUUUUUUGGUUAUUAUGAAACUGGUUUUAUUUAUUUAUUUUUAUUAGGAUCCUUUUGUCGAAGAAGAAAAACCUGUUGAAGUUGAAACGAGGAAAUCUCCACGUAAAUCCAAAGCCGAUAAUGUUGUGGAAGAUAUUCCCUUGAAAGCUCCAACAAGAAGAUCUCCCCGGAAACUUUAAGUUGAUAAUCAAGAUGUUAAAGGUGAUGUUACUGAUUAUGUUUCUCACAAACACCGUAGUAAAAAAGUCAGUAAGAAGGCUACUAAUGUCCUUCAAGCAGUCAAUGAUGAUGAUUUUUCAGACUCAGAAGGUUGUGGCGGAAGUUGUUUCAAGCAAGAAAAUGAAAGUUGUUAUUGAUGACGCUAGUGCAUCAAAGAAAAGUAAAACUAAGGAUGUGGUGGAGGAUUUUAAUUUGGUAUGUCUUCUUUUUUCCUUAUAUUUUUUUGGUUGUUUUGUGUAUUGUAUUUGUUGGACAGUUGUGAUCUUGGACAUAUUUUCUUACUUUGAAUGUUGAGGUACUCUUAAACUUUGAAGCUCUCAGAAACCAGUUACAGUUGCCAUCCACACAAGUCACCACAUACUCUCUUGGUUCAGAUCUUUUGGUUUUAAACUGAAAAUUGUUAAUCAUAGCAAAAAAACCCACUGCAGUCUUCAAUAUUUUUCUGUCCUUGUAGAUCUGUCCUUUUUCAAUG